CUACGGGUCGCACCAGUGGGGAAUAUUGGACAAUGGGGGAAACCCUGAUCCAGCAAUGCCGCGUGUGUGAAGAAGGCCUGCGGGUUGUAAAGCACUUUCGGUUGGGAGGACUGCUUCUAGCACUAAUAUUGUUGGAAGUUGACGUUACCUUCAGAAGAAGCACCGGCUAACUCCGUGCCAGCAGCCGCGGUAAUACGGAGGGUGCAAGCGCGAAUCGGAAUUACUGGGCGGAAAGCGCGCGUAGGCGGCUAGAUCAGUCGGGUGUGAAAGCCCCGGGCUUAACCUGGGAACUGCAUUCGAUACUGUCUAGCUUGAGUGCAGGAGAGGAGAGUGGAAUUCCACAUGUAGCGGUGAUAUGCGUAGAUAUGUGGAGGAACACCAAUGGCGAAGGCAGCUCUCUGGCCUGAUACUGACGCUGAGGUGCGAAAGCGUGGGGAGCAAACAGGAUUAGAUACCCGUGUAGUC
rnacentral:rRNA from 1 species